CACUGAGAGCAGCUGAAAGGCUUUUCUAGAGUGUGAGAUACCAAAUGAUAAUCAAGUUGUCCUUUCUUUGUAAAACUCUUUCCACACUGAGUGCAGGCGAAAGGCUUUUCUAGAGUGUGAGAUACCAAAUGAUAAUCAAGUUGUCCUUUCUUUGUAAAACUCUUUCCACACUGAGUGCAGGUGAAAGGCUUUAUUCCAGCAUGAGUUAACAUGUGAU